GGUUUCAAAAUGGUUCCCCCCCCCCAACCCCGUCAGAAACAUGAGGGGGUUUUUCUCCCAAAUUGACUGUGGGAUCCUGGUCUUGCUCCUGGAGUUAAAAAUCACAAAUGUGUCAGGGCCCUUCUCCGACUGGCUCCCCCCUGGAGUUUUUAAGCCUCAGGUUUGUGCACUCUGAGCCUCUAGCUACUGGUCAAUUACAGUUCUGGUGUUCCUGCUCUUACACCCGUUCCUGCCCACGCUGCCGCUCCUAAGUUUCUACUCAGGAGUCCAGAGGAACUUGCUGGAUGCUUUACGUGCCUGAGAAUUAGUUGAGUGAAAGAAGAGACGAGAGGAAGCUUACAGAAGAGAGAGGACCAAAGGAUUGACCUUCAGAACAGGAGAGACUAUGACUCCACAUACAAGGUGAAUUCUUUGCCUGCCUGCUAGGCUGGGCCCCAUCCAAUGGGGACACCUCAGACUCCUGCUCCAGAUACCUAAGUUUUAAGACUCAAAGGAAACCAGAAGAUGCUGCAACCAAAAGGACCAUCCAAAGAACAGUCAGCUGCUGUUGUGUAUGUGAAACCAGAAGUUGCUGUCACGUAAGUCACCUCAUGGGCCUCCAGAGUCAGCGUCUUCCAUGUGACUCCAAAUCCUGUGCUAAUGCGACCUACUGGGGAUGUGAAUAUCUACAAAGAAAGAGGAUCGACUGUCCUUUGUGUGAGAAAAGAACCGCAUAGAGCCAAUAGGAAGUUGAGCGAUGUCCGUUUCCAUUCUGCGCCAGUGUUUAGUAACUCCCCAUCAGCGUCUGCACACGGAAAGAGCUUCCAGUGGGGGCUCAGCUGGGCAAAACCACCACAGUGUCUCCGAGGUAUUUGAAAUGUUUGCUCCCGGAUCACUGGGCCCAAGAAAAUCUGGGGCAACAUCCAUCCCACUUGUUUGUCUACCAUCAGCCAGGGUUCACAGGGCCCCGGGUACGGGUACAUAUUAUUCUUCGCUGUUGACAUCUCCUUCCCUCAGCAGAGUGACUCAUCUUCUGGCACUCAUCCCUUUCAGCAAGAGAAUGGAAUUUUAAUCACAGCACAAAGCUUACGAUUCUCUUUUAGGACAUUUAUUUCAACUUCUUUUCACAAACACCGACCCCCUCAGGAGUUAAGGUAGAGGCAGUCAGUGCUUUGAUUCGUUUACCUUUAAUUUGCAUUUGAUGAUGGUGUAACGUUUGCCCACUAGGAGGUAGAGAGUUAAGGAGUUGAGAGUCACUGUUUUGCAUAAGAGCUACUUUCCAUUCUGCAGAGCUCACCUGGGAGACUGGGAUACGCUGUAGGGGCCUUCACCGUGAGAGGGGGUGUCUUGGGUUUGGAAUACGGCUUUCCCGGUAAUGAUUUAUCUGCAAACCUCCAUUGUACCUGGAAACACUUCACCAUGUUGUAGGAGUCCUUAGCCCGAACAGAAGACUGCUUGCCUGGUGGACUAUUUUUGUUAGGAUCGUUUGGCACAAAGUUAGUUUCCCAUCGUUAAAUAAAAUUCCACUUGAGCCAAUGGUUUUCAAAUUUAGCUGAACAUUAGAAUCAGCAAAGCCUCUUAAGAAUCACAAUGCUCAGGGGCGCCUGGGUGGCUCAUUCCCUUAAGGGUCUGACUGUUGAUUUCAGCUCAGGUCAUGAUCUCACAAUUUGUGAGUUCGAGAUCCACAUUGGGCUCCAC